rnacentral:misc_RNA from 1 species
UUUCCGUAGGUGAACCUGCGGAAGGAUCAUUAUUGAAUAUUCUUGAUGGGUUGUAGCUGGCUCUUAGGGGCAUGUGCACACUUGUCUUGACUUUAUUCAUCCACCUGUGCACCCUUUGUAGUCUUGGGGGUUGGGAGCAGUCGACUAUCGGAUGGUUAUGGCUUUUCCGGACAUGAGGAUUGCUGAGUGCGCAAGCAUACAGCUCUUCUCAAAUGGCUUGCAAAACCUCUCCCUCGAGUACUAUGUAUUCAUAUACCACAUAGUAUGUUGAAGAAUGUGAUCAAUGGGCCUAUGUGCCUAUAACAAUCAUAUACAACUUUCAGCAACGGAUCUCUUGGCUCUC